AUUUUCCACCAACUGAUGACGCGCUGCCGGCAGGCCGGCCGGCGCGGCUGUCUAAUGCGCUCUCCGGCGACCGCCGGCCGUCUGAUUCGCUCUCCGGCGAAAAACGUAAUAAUUAAUCGAUCACCGCAUGCAUGUGUCUGUAAGUUGUUCGUCUAAUUAACUUUGGGUCAAUUGCUUUUGAGAUCUCGAUGCCUCCAUAUGUUUCUUUCUCCCUUCGUUUCUCUUCUAUACUAGAUCUGAAACCACGUCGAUGAAUGCCUAGCUGCACACAAGCGGGAGAGGAAGAUAUGCCAUUACACGUACAAGAUCGAUCUGCGGAGGCGGCCAGUACGUACUGCAGCGGCGGAAGCGACGGCUGCCUACCGACGAUCGGCCGGCGACGUCGGAACGAUGUCCUGCAACGACGAGUCCCGCAGAUCUAUGUUUGUGCGUCAUCUACCACGAUGGUUGAUCGAUCCCAUGCUUCAGUCUUCAGAUGAUUCCUGAUCUGCCAGUCCUACAGAGGCAAUAGCGGACGCAUGAGAGUCUAAGGAGACUAGUUAGCGAUUAGUAGUACUCCUAUUGAUUAGCAGGCCGGUCGAUGCAUGCAUGGCUGCUGUUGGGCGAUGCAUCAUCUUUCUUUUGAAUGGCUAAAUCAAUUCUUCUGUCUUGCAACAAUCGAUUCACCUUAAGAAUACUGUACUACAACGAUAGAUUAUCAUU